GACGAACGCUGGCGGCGUGCUUAACACAUGCAAGUCGAGCGGUAAGGCCCUUUCGGGGGUACACGAGCGGCGAACGGGUGAGUAACACGUGGGUGACCUGCCCUCAGCUCUGGGAUAAGCCUGGGAAACCGGGUCUAAUACUGGAUAUGACUCCAUGACGCAUGUUGUGGGGUGGAAAGCCUUGUGCGGCUGAGGAGUGGGCCCGCGGCCUAUCAGCUUGUUGGUGGGGUGAUGGCCUACCAAGGCGACGACGGGUAGCCGGCCUGAGAGGCGACCGGCCACACUGGGACUGAGACACGGCCCAGACUCCUACGGGAGGCAGCAGUGGGGAAUCUUGCGCAAUGGGCGAAAGCCUGACGCAGCGACGCCGCGUGAGGGAUGACGGCC
rnacentral:rRNA from 1 species